UACGAAGGGGGCUAGCGUUGCUCGGAUUUACUGGGCGUAAAGGGCGCGUAGGCGGACAGUUAAGUUGGGGGUGAAAGCCCGGGGCUCAACCUCGGAAUUGCCUUCAAUACUGGCUGUCUUGAGUGCAGGAGAGGUGUGUGGAACUCCCGAGUGUAGAGGUGAAAUGCGCAGAUAUCCAGGAGGAACACCGGUGGCGAGGCGGGUCUCUGGGCAACUACUGACGCUGAGGAGCGAAAGCGUGGGGAGCAAACAGG
rnacentral:rRNA from 1 species